rnacentral:piRNA from 1 species
GAAAAUCUAAGGGCGUAGUUUAG